GGUUGCAAUAGAGGGGAAGAGAGAGGUCGUGACAAAAAAAAAUUAUAGAGAGAAAAAAUAAGAAUAAUAAAAAAUAAAAAUAAAAAAUAUUUUACAGAAAAGAUAAAAAAUCAUAAAAAAAGGAAGAAGAUGAUGAAAUUGCACUGUUAAAAUAAAGUUAUACUGUUAUAAAAAAUUUUUGAACUGUUUUAAGUAAAAGUUGCACUCUCUGAUAUAGAAAUUAUAUUUUUUAGGAUGAGAGUUACUGUCACGCGCCAGGCCCAGUGGAAGCCCGCCGACACGUGCACAGACCCGCUGUAUACACCAAACAAUCACAAUGCACUCAAGGCGUCUACUAAAAUAAGAAAUGAACAUAGUAAAGCCCUAACAAGGCUAUCAGAGCGAGUACUAUAAAAUUACUAAUGUUCUAACACAAGGAGAUCCACAACGCUCGCCCUAACAAUGUUCUAACACGUCGAGAUGCAGGCUCUCCUCCUGCACUGCGCGUCGGAACGCCGUGAUGUCGUUAGAGGCGGUGAUCUCGCCUUCGACAACGUCGCGGUGGUUGCAAUAGAGGGGAAGAGAGAGGUCGUGACAAAAAAAAAAACUAUAGAGAGAAAAAAUAAGAAUAAUAAAAAAUAAAAAAAAAUAUUUUUUUCUACAGAAAAGAUAAAAAAAUCAAAGAAGAAGGAAGAAGAUGAUGAAAUUGCACUGUUAAAAUAAAGUUAUACUGUUAUAAAAUUUUUUUGAACUGUUUUAAGUGAAAGUUGCACUCUCUGAUGCAGAAAU
rnacentral:lncRNA from 1 species